rnacentral:rRNA from 1 species
GUGAGGAAUAUUGGUCAAUGGGCGGAAGCCUGAACCAGCCAUCCCGCGUGAAGGAAGGCGGCCCUAUGGGUUGUAAACUUCUUUAGUACAUGAAGAAUAGUAUCUACGCGUAGGUAUUUGCCGGUAGUGUACAAAAAAGCAUCGGCUAACUCCGUGCCAGCAGCCGCGGUAAUACGGAGGAUGCGAGCGUUAUCCGGAUUCAUUGGGUUUAAAGGGUACGUAGGUGGCCCUGUAAGUCAGUGGUGAAAAUCUGCCGCUUAACGGUAGGGGUGCCAAUGAUACUGCGGGGCUUGAGUACAGAUGAGGUAGGUGGAAUGUGUAGUGUAGCGGUGAAAUGCAUAGAUAUUACACAGAACUCCGAUUGCGAAGGCAUCUUACUAAGCUGAGACUGACACUGAUGUACGAAAGCGUGGGGAUCGAACAGGAUUAGAUACCCCUGUAGUCC